CAGUCGCCGCGGUAAUACCAGCAGCCCAAGUGGUGGUCGCGCUUAUUGGGCCUAAAGCGCUCAUAGCCUGGCCGGUAAGUUCCCCGUGAAAUCGGGUCGCCCAACGAUUCGGCUUGCGGGGAAUACUGUCGGUCUUGGGGCCGGGAGACGCCGAGGGUACUCCGGGGGUAGCGGUGAAAUGCUGUGAUCCUCGGGGGACUACCAGUGGCGAAGGCGCUCGGCGAUAACGGGCCUGACGGUGAGGGGCGAAAGCUGGGGGCGCGAACGGGAUUAGAUACCCCCGUAGUCCCUGUCUCUUAUA
rnacentral:rRNA from 1 species